rnacentral:tRNA from 1 species
GGAGAGAUGGCCGAGUGGCUUAAGGCGCACGCUUGGAAAGCGUGUAUACCGCAAGGUAUCCAGGGUUCGAAUCCCUGUCUCUCCG